rnacentral:rRNA from 1 species
GACGAACCGUGCAAACGUUGUUCGGAAUCACUGGGCUUAAAGGGCGCGUAGGCGGGCUCUCAAGUCGGGCAUGAAAUCUCUCGGCUCAACCGGGAGAGGUUGUCCGAUACUGCUGGACUUGAGGGCAGUGAGAGGGUGGUGGAAUUCCGGGUGUAGUGGUGAAAUGCGUAGAUAUCUGGAGGAAUACCGGUGGCGAAGGCGGCAUCCUGGACCGAGAUUGACGCUGAUGAGCGAAAGCUAGGGGAGCAA